UUCCCUUCUUCCUCGUUGCACGAUCGGAGAGUAAUAUGGAGGAUCAGCGUCGAAUAAGACCAAGGCGCCAUCGACCGUAAAUUCUUCAGGGUGCAUCCAUCGCGCUGAUUUGUGCCACUCUGAGGUGGCCCACUUGUGGGUUCGCCAGCUGCAUCCAAUCACAGUGUGGGUGGGUGGUGUAUCGCCCAUCCGUUGUACCAAGCACGGAUGGUUUCUUUUCUUAUAAACCAUAGCUCGCCCGCCGAGACCCAAAUCCGGUGGGCCGCGAGGAGUCGGAGCGUGAUCCAUGGCGUUCUGGGUCUUGUUGUCGACCACCUUGCUUUCUUCCCUUCUAUCCCUGGUACCCUUCUCCGCUGUCGCGGCCGUGAUCUCGGGGCGGCGGGGGAGGCGGAGGGCGGUGGGGUUCUUCCAUUCUUACACCAACGACGGCGGUCGCGGGGAGAGGGUCCUGUGGUGCGCCCUGAGAGCCGUGCAGGAAGAGAACCCCGAUCUCGGCUACGCCGUCUUUACUAGUCAUUUACAUUAUGAAAUUGCAUUCUGCUAUCCAGGUGCAAUGUGGUGUACUAUACAAUAUUUAGUUGGUUGUAUGGGUCGGUGGGAUCCUGUGCACAUCUUGCAAUGGUAAACUCCUCAUGGGCCAGGUCACAUAUAGAUUGUCUGUGGAAGAUUCCUCCACUCACUAAGAGAGUGUACCCUCCCUGUGAUACUUCAUCCCUUCAGGGACUUGGUCCAACUUCUGGGAGGUGCUGUUGCCGGACUUCACUCCAUGAUUGAGAGCAUUUUGGAAUUAGUGUCGUAGAGUACAUGGCAUCUGGUGUGGUACCAAUUGCGGGUCAUAAUUCAGCAGGUCCCAAGAUGGACAUAAUUUUGAAUGAAGGUGGACGUAAAACAGGAUUUCUAGGAUCAAACAAAGAGGAAUAUACCGAAGCUAUCCUCAAAGUGAUUAAGAUGCCAGAGGCAGAGAGACUAGCAAUAGCUGCAGCUGCUAGAAAGCACGCUCAAAAGUUUUCAGAGCAGAAAUUCUUCGAGGAAUUCAAAGCUGCAGUUCAGCCUAUUCUAGCACCCAAAUCUUCUUCAUGAACUUGAUUCAAUGAUACUGUAUUCUUCUCGGAUGAUAACAUUUUCUAUGCAUGCUGAGCAUGUUCUGUGGGUAAUAAUUU